rnacentral:lncRNA from 1 species
GGACCAACCCUCUACCCCGGGGGGAGAUCUGGUGCUGUAGGAAUAUUGUCCUUUCUCUCUCUUUCAAACAGUUAGUGUAUAUAUUACUGGUCAUGUGCUGCACAUUGUACAUAUAUUUCCUUGGGCUGGUUACUGGUAUCUAAAUGAAAAUUAUAGUAAUUAUGUCAUAGCUCUUCAUGCAUAGUAGCCGUAUCAGUUGUAGAAGUGUAUUUGAUAUUUCAGAAAAAAAAGAACAAGAAAAAAAACAACCUCUGAAACUUUAAACUGAAGGGUCUACAAAAUGGAGAAUCAGCUGUAACAGGAUUUCCUGGAAAAGCACGAACUGUGUGACUCAGUCCUUGAAUGUCUAUAGAUGUUUACAUGAUUCACUGGUGAGGAAAGAAGGACCUUCAUUUCUCCCCUUACUAAUUUUGGACAAAGUGAGCAUCCCAGCUUUGACUCCUCAUGCAUUCAUCUCAUCCCUGCCUUUCCUGUAAGCUGUCCCUUGAAGUGAAGAAUGUGAUGGGGUGGACCUGCAGUCCCAGAGGCUCUGCUAUGUAUUUGGACAUAUACAUACCAUGACAGCUCCUUUGCAUCAAAUAAUAGGGGAAUCAAGCUUGGAAGUUUUGCUCUUAUGGCCUUCAAAACUUUUCAAGUGAGUACUGGAGGUCUCCUUAUGUGAAAAUAACUAAAAGAUUAUUAAACAGACUGAAAAAUAAAUCCCUUUCCUUCUAUCA